rnacentral:rRNA from 1 species
CGNCUCUUUNCAUGCAAGUCGAACGGCAGCACGGGAGCUUGCUCCUGGUGGCGAGUGGCGAACGGGUGAGUAAUGCAUCGGAAUGUACCGUGUAAUGGGGGAUAGCUCGGCGAAAGCCGGAUUAAUACCGCAUACGCCCUGAGGGGGAAAGCGGGGGACCGAAAGGCCUCGCGUUAUACGAGCAGCCGAUGUCUGAUUAGCUAGUUGGUGAGGUAAGAGCUCACCAAGGCGACGAUCAGUAGCGGGUCUGAGAGGAUGAUCCGCCACACUGGGACUGAGACACGGCCCAGACUCCUACGGGAGGCAGCAGUGGGGAAUUUUGGACAAUGGGCGCAAGCCUGAUCCAGCCAUGCCGCGUGUCUGAAGAAGGCCUUCGGGUUGUAAAGGACUUUUGUUCGGGAGGAAAUCCCGCUGGUUAAUACCUGGCGGGGAUGACAGUACCGGAAGAAUAAGCACCGGCUAACUACGUGCCAGCAGCCGCGGUAAUACGUAGGGUGCAAGCGUUAAUCGGAAUUACUGGGCGUAAAGCGUGCGCAGGCGGUUGUGCAAGUCUGAUGUGAAAGCCCCGGGCUCAACCUGGGAACGGCAUUGGAGACUGCACGACUAGAGUGCGUCAGAGGGGGGUAGAAUUCCGCGUGUAGCAGUGAAAUGCGUAGAGAUGCGGAGGAAUACCGAUGGCGAAGGCAGCCCCCUGGGAUGACACUGACGCUCAUGCACGAAAGC